GAAAACUAGCGAUGUAUGUAUUUAAGGACAAAUAAUUUAUAAAACAUUUUAUAAUUACUAUGGAUUAUACUUAUGAUAUACUUUCCCCACCUGUUCUUGAUGUAUGCAUUAUAUUGUGUUGUGAUGUGAAAACAAUCGCUGGGGUGAAGCAUAAGACUACAACCACACAUUUAUGCUUCCCGACGCCCCCUCUAGACUACUAUCAAUGGUCAAGGACCGAUCUUAAUAAAAGAAAAAAAGGUAGAAGACAAACACACACGCAGGCAGACAGACAGGGAAAAG